rnacentral:rRNA from 1 species
GCCAGCGGCUAUAGCACGUCAAAAGCACCAGGUCACCAUGGAUCACUGGAGUUAAGCAACCUCGCGCGUGGUUAGUAUCCAGAUGGGUGACAUACUAACCAUUUGGUCAAUCGCGUGCUGGUGGCU